AUUGAACGCUGGCGGCAGGCCUAACACAUGCAAGUCGAGCGGAUGAAGGGAGCUUGCUCCUGGAUUCAGCGGCGGACGGGUGAGUAAUGCCUAGGAAUCUGCCUGGUAGUGGGGGAUAACGUCCGGAAACGGGCGCUAAUACCGCAUACGUCCUGUGGGAGAAAGUGGGGGAUCUUCGGACCUCACGCUAUCAGAUGAGCCUAGGUCGGAUUAGCUAGUUGGUGGGGUAAAGGCCUACCAAGGCGACGAUCCGUAACUGGUCUGAGAGGAUGAUCAGUCACACUGGAACUGAGACACGGUCCAGACUCCUACGGGAGGCAGCAGUGGGGAAUAUUGGACAAAGGGCGAAAGCCUGAUCCAGCCAUGCCGCGUGUGUGAAGAAGGUCUUCGGAUUGUAAAGCACUUUAAGUUGGGAGGAAGGGCAGUAAGUUAAUACCUUGCUGUUUUGACGUUACCAACAGAAUAAGCACCGGCUAACUUCGUG
rnacentral:rRNA from 1 species